GUGCUUGCUUUGACAGCACAUAUACUAAAAUUGCAACAAUACAGAGAAGAUUAGCAUGCCCCCUGCACAAGGAUGACAUGCAAAUUCAUGAANCUUUCCAUAUUAUU
rnacentral:snRNA from 1 species